UUGUAGCAGCUGGAAACAAUGAAACAAUGAAGAAAGCCAAGACCAUGCGGCCUGUCAGAUCUCAGUAGACCACCGGUGAUCUCUGGUCACAAUUUGAGAACCACCAGAUCUACAGGAUCAUGAGACAAUUGGGUUUGUGUCUAUCUUGUAACAGCCACCUGUGACAUGAUGCCAUAAAUCAGCUCGCUUCAAAAUACUGGUAAAUCAAUCCCUACUUUCACACCUGUGGAGGGCCUUUGUGUGAACCAAUGCAGUAUGAUGGAAGGUGGAGCUCUCACCUGCACAGAGGAUGAGAGUGGAGUGCGUAGGCUGGACCAUAUCUGAGAGAUAUACCACUGCAUGGAAGCUCCUAUCUUCCAACCACAAGGGAAGGGAGUGUGUGAAAAGGCCCCACAACCAGUGGGCUGAAGUAGUCACCAUGACGCAGCUUGGCAGCUGCUCCAUGGCCCAUCUUCCCACCUCUACAAUGCAAAUGUACGGCUACUUGGGCUUCAAGCUGAGGGCCCUAAAUACAAAUUUACAACACAUCUGAAUAGAGUUGCAAACCUCUAUACAAAAUAGCUCCAUGUUGUCUCCACGACACUUAUUUCAAUUACUUGUCAUAAAAAAAAAUUGAUGUGGAUUGAAAUAACCAUUUUGUCCAGGGAAGUGACCAGCAUCACUUAAUAUAGGAUAUUUUGGGUGAACACUAAUGCAGUAACACAACACAUGAAUGCCAACACUUCACUUGUCCCAGAGGAAAACGAAUGCGGUUCUUUCUCUUUGGAAUUCAGGUGCCUGCCACUGAGAUGAGAAAGGACACAACAAACAAUAUGCUUUAAUUUGUCUCAAGGCUUAAAGGGAUUCCAGUAUUUAAAAGUUCCCUGUUCCUAUUCAUGAAUGCAGAUUACACUGGUCUACAAUUUUUGAGAAGUCGUCUGCUUCAGAGAUAAAAUGUGCUAUUUAUUGUGUA